rnacentral:rRNA from 1 species
AGCCCGGCCCGACUGCUCGACGGUAUUCGAAUAUCACAAGGUGUGUAAUCGAGAGCCGCAUUUGAAUGCGUUCGGCGCGUCGGUCGGCUUCGGCUCGCUCGGUUAUUUUACGGACCUGGAUGCCGUUACUGGGCGCUUGCCGAGGCUUUUUGUACCGACGACGAUCUCGAACCGGCUCUGCGCGCGCGAAAGCGUUCGCGCUCUCGCGCGCUCACCUGUCGGCGACGCUUUUGCUUUGGGUACUUUCAGGACCCGUCUUGAAACACGGACCAAGGAGUCUAACAUGUGCGCGAGUCAUUGGGUUUUUUUAUAUUAUAUUUAAAGCCUAAAGGCGCAAUGAAAGUGAAGAUACGGCAGGCAUUCGUGCCUGAGCCGAUCGAGGGAGGAUGGCCCGCGUCACGAUGCGGGCCCGCACUCCCGGGGCGUCUCGCGCUCAUUGCGAGCGGAGGCGCACCCAGAGCGUACACGUUGGGACCCGAAAGAUGGUGAACUAUGCCUGGUCAGGACGAAGUCAGGGGAAACCCUGAUGGAGGUCCGUAGCGAUUCUGACGUGCAAAUCGAUCGUCGGAACUGGGUAUAGGGGCGAAAGACUAAUCGAACCAUCUAG